AUACGGAGGGUGCAAGCGUUGUUGGGAAUUACUGGGCGUAAAGCGCGCGUAGGCGGUCUGUUAUGUCAGAUGAGAAAGUCCUCGGCUCAACCGGGGAAGUGCAUUUGAAACUGGCAGACUUGAGUACUGGAGGGGGUGGUGGAAUUCCCGGUGUAGCGGUGAAAUGCGUAGAUAUCGGGAGGAAGGCCGAUGGCGAAGGCGGCCCUCUGGCGCUCAACUGACGCUGAGGCCCGAAAGCGUGGGGAGCAAACAGGAUUAGAAACCCUAGUAGUCC
rnacentral:rRNA from 1 species